GACGUAGGGCGCGAGCGUUGUCCGGAUUUAUUGGGCGUAAAGAGCUCGUAGGCGGCUUGUCGCGUCGACUGUGAAAUCCCGCGGCUCAACUGCGGGUCUGCAGUCGAUACGGGCAGGCUAGAGUUCGGUAGGGGAGACUGGAAUUCCUGGUGUAGCGGUGAAAUGCGCAGAUAUCAGGAGGAACACCGAUGGCGAAGGCAGGUCUCUGGGCCGAUACUGACGCUGGGGAGCGAAAGCGUGGGGAGCGAACAGG
rnacentral:rRNA from 1 species